AUUGAACGCUGGCGGCAUGCCUUACACAUGCAAGUCGAGCGGCAGCGCGGGGGCAACCCUGGCGGCGAGCGGCGUACGGGUGAGUAAUGCAUCGGAACGUGUCCUCUUGUGGGGGAUAACCAGUCGAAAGACUGGCUAAUACCGCAUGAGAUCGCAAGAUGAAAGCAGGGGACCCGCAAGGGCCCUGCGCGAGAGGAGCGGCCGAUGCCCGAUAGCUAGUUGGCGGGGUAAAAGCCCACCAAGGCGACGAUCGGUAGCUGGUCUGAGAGGACGACCAGCCACACUGGGACUGAGACACGGCCCAGACUCCUACGGGAGGCAGCAGUGGGGAAUUUUGGACAAUGGGGCAACCCUGAUCAGCCAUGCCGCGUGUGUGAAGAAGGCCUGGUUGUAAGUAC
rnacentral:rRNA from 1 species